rnacentral:misc_RNA from 1 species
AACGGUCUAUACCUGCGGUACCUGCGGAAGGAUCAUUACCGAGUUUACAACUCCCAAACCCCUGUGAACAUACCACUCGUUGCCUCGGCGGAUCACCGCGCCCCGUGAAACGGGCCGGCCCGCCAGAGGACCUAAACUCAAAUGUUUUAUUGUAUCUUCUGAGUAAAAACACAAAUAAAUCAAAACUUUCAGCAAUGGAUCUCU